rnacentral:rRNA from 1 species
GAGUUUGAUCGUGGCUCAGAUUGAACGCUGGCGGCAUGCCUUACACAUGCAAGUCGAACGGCAGCACGGGAGCUUGCUCCUGGUGGGCGAGUGGCGAACGGGUGAGUAAUGCAUCGGAACGUAUCCUGGAGUGGGGGAUAACGUAGCGAAAGUUACGCUAAUACCGCAUAUCCUGUGAGCAGGAAAGCGGGGGACCUUCGGGCCUCGCGCUCUUGGAGCGGCCGAUGUCGGAUUAGCUAGUUGGUGAGGUAAAGGCUCACCAAGGCGACGAUCCGUAGCAGGUCUGAGAGGAUGAUCUGCCACACUGGAACUGAGACACGGUCCAGACUCCUACGGGAGGCAGCAGUGGGGAAUUUUGGACAAUGGGGGCAACCCUGAUCCAGCCAUGCCGCGUGAGUGAAGAAGGCCUCGGUGUAAG